GGUUCCGCAAGGCGCGUACGCACUAGCGACGCUCCGAGAAUAGCGCCGGAGGAGGGGGGGGGGGGGAGGAGGGCGUUGCAACCGCCUGGCUCAAGCUCGUCAGCGCCGGCGGCCAUCUUUGUUCCGGGCAAAGCCCUGCAGGCGCCGGGGUGGGGGGGAACUUUGGCGCUCCCUGAGCGUGCCCGGUUUCAAGAUGGCCGCCGAGCGGCCUGUUUUUUCUCUGACAGGGAGCGGGAGGAAAUAACAGUUCGAUCCCGGGUUGGGCUGGGCGAGGGGGCGGGGGGUAGGGACGGCGGCGGCGGCGGCGGCGAAGCCCCAUGCCGAGCCGGAAGGCGCCGCGUGCUCGGGGAGGCGGGCGGGGAGCGAGCGUGUGAGGAGCGGGGCGGAGGCGGCGAGGGGAGAAGAAGAAGGAGGAGGAGGAGGAGCAGACGGCGGAGCCGAGCCGCUAAGUCCGUCCGGCCGCCAGAGCGUAGGCGCUGUGCGGAAGGGCCGCGGCCCCUGGGCGGAAUCAGCGUAGGGGGCGUUGGAGAAUCGCCGGGUUGGCUGGCGGGAGGAGGAGGAGGAGGAGGAGGAGGGGAGGGCGGCUCGCUCGCUGCCGCCGCGGCUGAGGGAAGGCGGGGAGGGCGGGAGGCAGGCAGGGAAGGAGGGCAGCCAGCCGGAGCCCAGCGUCAGCAGCGGCAGCGACACCGCCGCCACCGGCCAGCGCCAUGGGUCAACAGAAGAACCUUGAAGGAUAUGUGGGGUUUGCAAAUCUUCCCAAUCAAGUUUACCGGAAGUCUGUGAAGAGAGGAUUUGAAUUCACACUCAUGGUAGUAGGUAAGUUUGUGGUUUUUUUUUGUUUUGAGUGGUGAUCCUUUGAAGUAUAUUGACAUGGUUCUUAAAAUGAUGUAAGUAUGUUUUGCACAAUUGCAUGAGAAUAUAUGGAUCUUCCUCUUCUAGACUGUAGGGUCUAAGAAAAAAGCUUGGUGUGAAUCUAGUCUAAAGUGUGACUUGCAAGUAUCGUAUCAGUACAAGUAAUUUGAACUUGGAUUUUCAUUUGAAUAAAAAAAAAUUGAACUGCUUUUACA
rnacentral:lncRNA from 1 species